rnacentral:rRNA from 1 species
CCCUUAGAUGUUCUGGGCCGCACGCGCGCUACACUGAUGCAUUCAACGAGCCUAUCCUUGACCGACAGGUCCGGGUAAUCUUUGAAUCUGCAUCGUGACGGGGAUAGAUUAUUGCAAUUAUUAAUCUUCAACGAGGAAUGCCUAGUAGGCGCAAGUCAUCAGCUUGCGUCGAUUACGUCCCUGCCCUUUGUACACACCGCCCGUCGCUCCUACCGAUUGGGUGUGCUGGUGAAAUGUUCGGAUCGGCCGUUUGGCGCGGUUUCCGCGUCAUGUGGCUGAGAAGUUCAUUAAACCCUCCCACCUAGAGGAAGGAGAAGUCGUAACA